AAUGGAAGUGGCACUGAUCUCCGGCAUCUUGACUUGGGUCAUCUUCAGAAUUUAAAGAACAUUGUUUGGAAGGAUGUGGCACCUCAACGGUUUUUUUGUAAUCUGCAGCUUCCGACGAUAAAUGAAUGCCGAAUCAAAGAGUUAUUUACAGAGGAGGAUGGAGAAAUUCAAUGAGUAUCCGAAGCCCCUUCCUUUCCCAGCCUGAGAAGUUUGACACUCGAACAUUCACCGAAUUUAGUGAGCAUGAGCAAUUAAGCAUUGGAUUUUCCUCUUCUUUGCUCAUUUCCAAUUUUUAAUUGUCCGAAUUUAAAGAGGCUUGCAUUCAAACCAGACAUUGUCAACAAAGAAUUUGUACAAAUUCAUUGUGUUAAAGAGUGGUGGGAGAGAUUGGAGUGGGAAGAUGACACCAUCCAGUCUUUCCUUUCAAGAUUCAUCAAUUUUAUUGAGAUCAGUCAUUAUCUCUCAACUGUCCCAUUUUGAUUGAAGGUGUUGGAACUAUAUCCAGUUUAAAGAAGGAUGAAGAUGGUCGACCAGUAUUUGAAUUCAUUGAAGAAAAAUUAAAAAGCCUAAAAAAUUUCAGAUAUUUGUUAGAGAUCACCAAGUAUCAUACAGAUGCAACUUACAUAUGC